UACGGGGGGGGGCAAGCGUUGUUCGGAAUUACUGGGCGUAAAGGGUUCGUAGGCGGCCAACUAAGUCGGACGUGAAAUCCCUCAGCUUAACUGGGGAACUGCGUCGGAUACUGGAUGGCUUGAAUUCGGGAGAGGGAUGCAGAAUUCCAGGUGUAGCGGUGAAAUGCGUAGAUAUCUGGAGGAAUACCGGUGGCGAAGGCGGCAUCCUGGACCGACAUUGACGCUGAACGGCGAAAGCUAGGGGAGCAAACGGG
rnacentral:rRNA from 1 species